CAUUCUCAGUUGACAAUAGGCUGCACAGUCCUCCCCAACUACAGGAAUUAACCUUGUCUUUGUUGUACCAAGAAUGGGAUAUCGAGAGAAAACAAUCAAUUCAUGGUUUCUUGUCUUUCGAAAUAUCUUUUUGAAGUAUAUAAACAUUGAUACAAGCAUUGUUCCACAAAAGACAUAAACCAGAAGCAUUUUUAUGACAAAUCACGUGACAUUUAAAUUUAGAUUUU
rnacentral:lncRNA from 1 species